rnacentral:rRNA from 1 species
UACAGAGGGUGCAAGCGUUGUUCGGAAUUAUUGGGCGUAAAGCGCGUGUAGGCGGCUUUGCAAGUCGGGGUGUGAAAGCCCUCAGCUCAACUAGGAAGUGCGCCCGAAACUGCAGAGCUUGAGUACCGGAGAGGGUGGCGGAAUUCCCCAAGUAGAGGUGAAAUUCGUAGAUAUGGGGGAGGAACACCGGGUGGGCGAAGGCGG